rnacentral:rRNA from 1 species
AUGGUGAAGUUGUUACACCUAAUCGUCUCUCCAGUAAUGAAAAGAAGUACGAGCAAUCCCAGUUCUGAAGGAGCAGGAGCAGUUCUGAAGAUGAUCAGUUUACCAAUACAAGUCCAUAUGCUUCCAGACAGCCACAGCGCCACAUCGGGGAGUGGCUCCGGCCGUCAGUCCUCUGCACUAAAGAAGUAUUCAGAAGAGAGCUCCGCGAAUAAAACGAGCCGGAACAAUGGCCGGCGAUGGCUCCGACGGAGUCAACAUUGGUUCUACUUCUCCAUCAGGGGCUCGGAGCCAAACCCCAUUCUACUCAUUCCAAACUUCCAGGAGUCGCCAAGCAGUAAAACAAUGGGCGCCCUCGCAGCCCUCCUCCUAGCCGUGCUACUCGCCGCGCUCGCGUACGUGCUCCGCGCCCUCGUGUGGGUCCCGCGCCGCCUGCGCCGGCAGGGCAUCCGGGGGUCUCCGCGCAGCCUGAUCACCGGAAACGGGGCCGACUACGGCGCCCUCCUCGCCGCCGCCCAGUCCAAGCCGCUCGCCUCCUUCCACCACGCCAUCGUCGGCCGCGCCACGCCGCACUACCGCGGGUGGGCGGCGCGGUACGGCCGGCCGUUCGUGUUCUGGUCAGGGCCCCGGCCGCGGCUGGUGUUCUCCACCCCGGAAGUCGCCAAGGCCGCGCUAAACGACUCCACGGAGACCCUCGAUAAGGCCGGCAACGGCGGCAGCAGAAACCCGCUCGCUCGGCAGCUCAUCGGCGAGGGGCUGGUGGGGCUCACCGGGGAGAAGUGGGCGCACCACCGCCGUGUGAUCUCGCCCGCCUUCAACAGAGUGAAUUGUAAAAUACCACCACAUUUCAAGUUUUGUUUUGGAAUUGCCACCACAUUCCUUGGGCGCCCCAAAAAUCUAUCGGUUUUCUUGCUAAUUUUCUCAAUAAACACUAAUGAUUGA